rnacentral:rRNA from 1 species
UCGGAGCUUGCUCCGGGCGAUCAGUGGCGAACGGGUGAGUAACACGUGAGUAACCUGCCCCAGACUCUGGGAUAACAUCGGGAAACCGGUGCUAAUACCGGAUAUGAGACGAGACCGCAUGGUCAUCGUCUGGAAAGAUUUAUCGGUCUGGGAUGGACUCGCGGCCUAUCAGCUAGUUGGUGAGGUAAUGGCCCACCAAGGCGACGACGGGUAGCCGGCCUGAGAGGGCGACCGGCCACACUGGAACUGAGACACGGUCCAGACUCCUACGGGAGGCAGCAGUGGGGAAUAUUGCACAAUGGGCGCAAGCCUGAUGCAGCAACGCCGCGUGGGGGAUGAAGGCCUUCGGGUUGUAAACCCCUUUUAGCAGGGAAGAAGCGAAAGUGACGGUACCUGCAGAAAAAGCGCCGGCUAACUACGUGCCAGCAGCCGCGGUAAUACGUAGGGCGCAAGCGUUGUCCGGAAUUAUUGGGCGUAAAGAGCUCGUAGGCGGUUUGUCGCGUCUGCUGUGAAAGUCCGAGGCUCAACCUCGGAUCUGCAGUGGGUACGGGCAGACUAGAGUGUGGUAGGGGAGACUGGAAUUCCUGGUGUAGCGGUGGAAUGCGCAGAUAUCAGGAGGAACACCAAUGGCGAAGGCAGGUCUCUGGGCCACAACUGACGCUGAGGAGCGAAAGCGUGGGUAGCAAACAGGAUUAGAUACCCUGGUAGUCCACGCCGUAAACGGUGGGCACUAGAUGUGGGGCUCUUUCCAUGAGUUCCGCGUCGCAGCUAACGCAUUAAGUGCCCCGCCUGGGGAGUACGGCCGCAAGGCUAAAACUCAAAGGAAUUGACGGGGGCCCGCACAAGCGGC